UUAUACGAUAUACCUACUGAUUUAUUUAAUACUAUACGUAAUAUAUUAUUAUUAUAUGGCCAAUUAACAGUUGUUAAUUAUAGUUUAACUGGAAUAAAUGUUGAUGACUAACCGCAGGAAAGCUGACAUUUUUUAAGAAGAUUACUGGAAAGAUAAUGAUGUGUUGAAACCUUAAUGUACAAUUUGUCACUGAUUACAAUAGUCAGUAUUGGUUUAUCAAGCUACAUAUCAAUAUGUCAUUUAUGAUUAUUCAGUUACUAGUUAGAUGAAGAAAAUAUUGCUUUCUACUUGGAAUCUUAGAAGAAUAAAAUAUUAGCAUUUAACACAACCAUACUCAACCAGCGGCCCCUGGGCUGCAUACAGCCCGCCGAUUAUUUUUAUGUGGCCCAAAAAGAACUCAUAUUAUAAAUAUUUAAGGGCUAUAAAAAAAUAUAUAUAUUAAUAUAAAAUAUAACAAAACAAUUAUAUUUUCAAGAUGUGUAACGUUCGAGAUUGCAAUAAGGAUGUUAAAUUUUAACAUCAUAAUUAUUUGUCUCGAAUAAUAACUUGUAUAAGCAUUUUUAUU